rnacentral:piRNA from 1 species
UGAGCCAAAAACGUGAUGGCUUG